rnacentral:rRNA from 1 species
CGGACGGGUGAGUAAUGCUUAGGAAUCUGCCUAUUAGUGGGGGACAACAUUCCGAAAGGAAUGCUAAUACCGCAUACGCCCUACGGGGGAAAGCAGGGGAUCUUCGGACCUUGCGCUAAUAGAUGAGCCUAAGUCAGAUUAGCUAGUUGGUGGGGUAAAGGCCUACCAAGGCGACGAUCUGUAGCGGGUCUGAGAGGAUGAUCCGCCACACUGGGACUGAGACACGGCCCAGACUCCUACGGGAGGCAGCAGUGGGCGAAUAUUGGACAAUGGGGCGAAAGCCUGAUCCAGCCAUGCCGCGUGUGUGAAGAAGGCCUUUUGGUUGUAAAGCACUUUAAGCGAGGAGGAGGCUACUGAGAUUAAUACUCUAGGAUAGUGGACGUUACUCGCAGAAUAAGCACCGGCUAACUCUGUGCCAGCAGCCGCGGUAAUACAGAGGGUGCGAGCGUUAAUCGGAUUUACUGGGCGUAAAGCGUGCGUAGGCGGCUUUUUAAGUCGGAUGUGAAAUCCCUGAGCUUAACUUAGGAAUUGCAUUCGAUACUGGGAAGCUAGAGUAUGGGAGAGGAUGGUAGAAUUCCAGGUGUAGCGGUGAAAUGCGUAGAGAUCUGGAGGAAUACCGAUGGCGAAGGCAGCCAUCUGGCCUAAUACUGACGCUGAGGUACGAAAGCAUGGGGAGCAAACAGGAUUAG